AUGAAGCGGAAUUAUGCUUCAGGAAGCCAGAAGAGAAAGGAAGAGGAGGAUAAGAAAAAACAAGAUAGUGGUGCUUUGCUUAAAUUUCUCAGCCCUCAGGCUCUUCCUAAGGAUACCUCCACUGAUGAAGCAACACCAUCAACUUCAUCCUCAACAUCAACAGAUGCAUCACUUCUCAGUGCUGAUGUUUCCUCUAUAGCACAAGCUACAACGUCAAUACCAUCUCUCACAGUGGAAGACACUGCAUCCAGAACAGAAAUUGAGUCUGCACCACUUCCCAACACUGAGGUUUCCUCUACAGCUCAAGGUACCACAAGCACUGUCAUUAUAGCUGAUGACCCUGCGCAGUGGCCAGCAGUCCUGACUGAUAGUGUGUGCUGUCAAAUUGUUAAAAAAGGACCAGUGCAAGUCACAAACAUUGUUUUCCCCCAAAAUUCUGAGAAUCCACCUCGAAGAUUCACAAAUGACAAUUACAUGAGAAGCAUGAAUGUCAAUUGAGAGCUUAUGGCACUUAUGUCAAUUGAGCGUGAUGCUCGUGUAAGGGAAACAGGUCAAUUUAGCUCAAAGGGAAUCAUUUAAGAUUUUAAAGGGAAUUUGAACAGAAUCACUGUUUCACGGCUGAUCACUGAAACGGCCAGCGAUUCACUGAACGAGCCGUUUAACAUCAAA
ensembl:lncRNA